rnacentral:rRNA from 1 species
AAUAGAUACCCGGGUAGUCCACGCUGUAAACGAUGAUCACUAGACGUUGGUUUUGCUUAGCAGAAUCAGUGUCGCAGCUAACGCGUUAAGUGAUCCGCCUGGGGACUACGGUCGCAAGACUAAAACUCAAAAGAAUUGACGGGGGUCCGCACAAGCGGUGGAACAUGUGGUUUAAUUCGACACUACGCGAGGAACCUUACCUAGGCUUGACAUGCUUUUGACUGCUGUAGAAAUACAGUUUUCUAGGUUUUUAAUCUAGACAGAUGCACAGGUGCUGCAUGGCUGUCGUCAGCUCGUGCCGUGAGGUGUUAGGUUAAGUCCUCUAACGAGCGCAACCCUUGCUGUCAGUUGCUAUUCUUCGGAAGCACUCUGACGGGACUGCCUGGGAAACCAGGAGGAAGGUGGGGAUGACGUCAAGUCAUCAUGGUCCUUAUGCCUAGGGCUACACACGUGUUACAAUGGCCAGUACAAAGGGCUGCAAGCUUGUAAAAGUGAGCGAAUCCCAUAAAGCUGGUCU